UACGGAGGGUGCGAGCGUUGUCCGGAAUCACUGGGCGUAAAGGGCGCGUAGGCGGCUGGGGAAGUCGGCGGUGAAAGCCCGGAGCUCAACUCCGGGUCGGCCGUCGAGACUCCUCGGCUCGAGCUCACUAGAGGCAGAUGGAAUUCCGGGUGUAGCGGUGGAAUGCGUAGAGAUCCGGAAGAACACCGGUGGCGAAGGCGGUCUGCUGGGGUGAGGCUGACGCUGAGGCGCGACAGCGUGGGGGAGCAAACAGGG
rnacentral:rRNA from 1 species